CAGUCGCCGCGGUAAUACGGAGGGUGCUAGCGUUGUUCGGAAUCACUGGGCGUAAAGGGCGCGUAGGCGGCCUGUUAAGUCGGAUGUGAAAGCCCGGGGCUCAACCCCGGAACUGCAUCCGAGACUGGCAGGCUUGAGACCGGGAGAGGAGGGUGGAAUAUCCAGUGUAGAGGUGAAAUUCGUAGAUAUUGGAUGGAACACCGGUGGCGAAAGCGGCUCUCUGGCCCGGAUCUGACGCUGAGGCGCGAAAGCGUGGGGAGCAAACAGGAUUAGAUACCCGGGUAGUCCCUGUCUCUUAUAC
rnacentral:rRNA from 1 species